rnacentral:rRNA from 1 species
AGUGAACGCUGGCGGCGUGCCUAAUACAUGCAAGUCGAACGGAGUGGCGCACGGGUGAGUAAUGUAUAGCUAAUCUGCCCGACACUAGAGGACAACAGUUGGAAACGGCUGCUAAUACUCUAUAGUGUAGGAUGAGGCUGUAUUGGAUCAGCUAGUUGGUGAGGGAAUGGCUCACCAAGGCUAUGAUGCAUAACUGGGCUGAGAGGAUGAGGAGUCACACUGGAACGGAGACACGGUCCAGACUUCUACGGGAAGCAGCAGUAGGGAAUAUUGCUCAAGGGGGGAAAGCCUGAAGCAGCAACGCCGCGUAGAGGAUGACACUUUUCGGAGCGUAAACUCCUUUUGUUAGGGAAGCGGUACCUAACGAAUAAGCACCGGCUAACUCCGUGCCAGCAGCCGCGGUAAUUC